ACAGCCAUAUCACAUUGAAACACUCGUACGAUCACCAAAGUUAAGCAAAGUCGAGCCUGGUCAGUACCUAGAUGGGUGCCCGCUUGGGAAUACCAGGUAGUGUAA